UACGUAGGGUGCAAGCGUUAAUCGGAAUUACUGGGCGUAAAGCGUGCGCAGGCGGUUGUGCAAGACAGAUGUGAAAUCCCCGGGCUUAACCUGGGAACUGCAUUUGUGACUGCAUGGCUAGAGUUUGGCAGAGGGGGGUAGAAUUCCACGUGUAGCAGUGAAAUGCGUAGAUAUGUGGAGGAACACCGAUGGCGAAGGCAGCCCCCUGGGUCAAGACUGACGCUCAUGCACGAAAGCUGGGGAGCAACAGG
rnacentral:rRNA from 1 species